rnacentral:rRNA from 1 species
ACACGUGGGCAAUCUGCCCUUCACUCUGGGACAAGCCCUGGAAACGGGGUCUAAUACCGGAUACCACUCCUGUCUGCAUGGGCAGGGGUUGAAAGCUCCGGCGGUGAAGGAUGAGCCCGCGGCCUAUCAGCUUGUUGGUGGGGUAAUGGCCCACCAAGGCGACGACGGGUAGCCGGCCUGAGAGGGCGACCGGCCACACUGGGACUGAGACACGGCGGAGACUCCUACGGGAGGCAGCAGUGGGGAAUAUUGCACAAUGGGGCGAAAGC